AACUGAACAGACGGCUAGCUAGCUAAAGCAACGACACGAAAUUUCUCAGGAUAAAACUAUAGACCAGUAUUUGUACACACCAUGGACAACAACAAUAACAACCAGAUUCUUGACGAAGAAGGAUGGCCGAACGAUGUAUAUGGGUUUCUGAGGGGGACUCGGUCAAAUGGAUAGAACUUGUGGGUCACUUUCUUGAUGGAGGAUAAGGUCGGACUAAACGAUACAAAUAACGAUAAACAAAGUAGAUUUCUUGAAAUCGGGAAGGAGGAACGGAAUGAGAUGGUUGAGGAGCAGAUGUCGGUGAAUGAGGGGGAGGAAGGGAUGAAUGAGGAGGAGUAUUACAACCCGUAUAUUCGGUUGUAUGCCGACUGUGAAGAUUGGGGAUAUGGUGACGGUAUGCCAGAGGCAUGGAGGCAAUAAAUCGAGUGCACAAGACCCUUGACGCUAGCGACAUAUGAGAUGCAGCAUGAUGAUGCGGGGGCUGUCGGACCCGGAACCCGCCUCAGAAUGAAAUUUAUUGAACUGAUGUAUUCAUAACGUUAAAAAUACACGCUCCUUCGUGUAUAUAUUGGUGAUGCGCUUUCUGCCAAAGAAACGUUACGGACUGUGACGAAAUCGAACAAGAUUUAUUGACAACAACAUACUGCAAAUUGUUUUGACUUCGCGCGGCGUUAUUUUCGGGAUAU